AAUCCAUAGGUUAAUGAGGCGAACCGGGGGAACUGAAACAUCUAAGUACCCCGAGGAAAAGAAAUCAACCGAGAUUCCCCCAGUAGCGGCGAGCGAACGGGGAGGAGCCCAGAGCCUGAAUCAGCAUGUGUGUUAGUGGAAGCGUCUGGAAAGGCGCGCGAUACAGGGUGACAGCCCCGUACACAAAAGCGCAUGUGCUGUGAGCUCGAUGAGUAGGGCGGGACACGUGGUAUCCUGUCUGAAUAUGGGGGGACCAUCCUCCAAGGCUAAAUACUCCUGACUGACCGAUAGUGAACCAGUACCGUGAGGGAAAGGCGAAAAGAACCCCGGCGAGGGGAGUGAAAAAGAACCUGAAACCGUGUACGUACAAGCAGUGGGAGCACCCUUUGGGUGUGACUGCGUACCUUUUGUAUAAUGGGUCAGCGACUUAUAUUCUGUAGCAAGGUUAACCGAAUAGGGGAGCCGGAGGGAAACCGAGUCUUAACCGGGCGUUAAGUUGCAGGGUAUAGACCCGAAACCCGGUGAUCUAGCCAUGGGCAGGUUGAAGGUUGGGUAACACUAACUGGAGGACCGAACCGACUAAUGUUGAAAAAUUAGCGGAUGACCUGUGGCUGGGGGUGAAAGGCCAAUCAAACCGGGAGAUAGCUGGUUCUCCCCGAAAGCUAUUUAGGUAGCGCCUCGUGAAUUCAUCUCCGGGGGUAGAGCACUGUUUCGGCUAGGGGGCCAUCCCGGCUUACCAACCCGAUGCAAACUGCGAAUACCGGAGAAUGUUAUCACGGGAGACACACGGCGGGUGCUAACGUCCGUCGUGAAGAGGGAAACAACCCAGACCGCCAGCUAAGGUCCCAAAGUCAUGGUUAAGUGGGAAACGAUGUGGGAAGGCCCAGACAGCCAGGAUGUUGGCUUAGAAGCAGCCAUCAUUUAAAGAAAGCGUAAUAGCUCACUGGUCGAGUCGGCCUGCGCGGAAGAUGUAACGGGGCUAAACCAUGCACCGAAGCUGCGGCAGCGACACUGUGUGUUGUUGGGUAGGGGAGCGUUCUGUAAGCCUGCGAAGGUGGCCUGUGAGGG
rnacentral:rRNA from 3 species